rnacentral:lncRNA from 1 species
GCGCGCCGAUGCCUCUGAGCCUCCUCAGGAAACUUCUCGGUCUGGAGCCCGUUGGUCACUGCAGGCUCAGCGGACCGAGGUUAGGACGGAUCGGCCUCUCUAGUCAGAGCGUGCAGUGGUGAUCAGAUCCCACCGGGAAGGCAGCAUAAUCGCGUGGUCCCAGCCUUCAAGCUGCCUGCGCCGCACAUCUUGGACGGAAUGCCAAUAGUCAACUGGACCUGCUGUGACGAUCCUUGGCCUGCAACUCAGCAGUUGGAGAUGGCAUUUGUCUGACUUAGAAGGCCGUUGUGUUUGUGAGAGCAUGUGAGUAAAUGCCAGAUAGCUAGGAUUACAGGAUGAAGCCGCUUGGAUGGAAAGCCAAGCUGGACUCAGUAUUACGGAAAAGACCCACCUGUUAACAGCAUCCCGGAAUACUUGGAGAGCCGGCCCUUGGUUCUGGACUUCACGCUUUUAUCGUUAACUGUGUGCUCUUCUGUGGACGGGUCGUGCCCUGCCGUCUUUUCAUCACCUUCUGAAAGGCAUCGAGGGUGGCCGGUUCCCGAAGUCCUAAAGUUAUCGCUACAGCUAACCGGUCCGUCCUUCCCUGUCUGCUGUGAUGUCAGCAUGCCCUGCGUGGGGUGAUGCAGGAUAAAGUAAACCAAGUUCACUAGUCACAUUCGGCCUAAGAAGUCGCCUUUAUUACUGCCCGGGCUACGCAGUGAGGCUGCUUCUCAUUGGCU